AGUUUGAUCCUGGCUCAGGAUGAACGCUGGCGGUGUGCUUAAUACAUGCAAGUCGAGCGGCAACAUGGACUUCGGUCUGAUGGCGAGCGGCGGACGGGUGAGUAACGCGUAAGAAUCUACCCCAAACUGAGGGAUAAUUGCUCGAAAGAGUACCUAAUACCGCAUGUGCCCUACGGGGUAAAGGCUUCGGCCGGUUUGGGAAGAGCUUGCGUCUGAUUAGCUAGUUGGUAAGGUAACGGCUUACCAAGGCGACGAUCAGUAGCUGGUCUGAGAGGAUGACCAGCCACACUGGGACUGAGACACGGCCCAGACUCCUACGGGAGGCAGCAGUAGGGAAUUUUCCACAAUGGGGGCAACCCUGAUGGAGCGACACCGCGUGCAGGAUGAAGGCCUUAGGGUCGUAAACUGCUUUUAUCUGUGACGAAUAUGACGGUAGCAGAAGAAUAAGGAUCGGCUAACUCCGUGCCAGCAGCCGCGGUCAUACGGAGGAUCCAAGCGUUAUCCGGAAUAACUGGGCGUAAAGCGUUGCGUAGGCGGCAUAUCAAGCGGAGUGUGAAAUCAUGUGGCUCAACCAUAUGGCUAUGCUCUGAACUGAUAAGCUAGAGAGUGAGAGAGGUAACUGGAAUUCCAAGUGUAGGAGUGAAAUCCGUAGAUAUUUGGAAGAACACCGAUGGCGUAGGCAGGUUACUGGCUCAUUUCUGACGCUCAGGCACGAAAGCGUGGGGAGCGAACGGGAUUAGAUACCCCGGUAGUCCACGCUGUAAACUAUGGAUGCUAGCUGUUAUCAGUAUCGACCCUGGUAGUAGCGAAGCUAACGCGUUAAGCAUCCCGCCUGGGGAGUACGGUCGCAAGAUUAAAACUCAAAGGAAUUGACGGGGACCCGCACAAGCGGUGGAGCGUGUUGUUUAAUUCGAUGAUAAACGAAGAACCUUACCAAGGUUUGACAUCCUGCGAAUUACUUCGAAAGAAGAAAGUGCCUUCG
rnacentral:rRNA from 1 species